UACGAAGGGGGCUAGCGUUGUUCGGAAUUACUGGGCGUAAAGCGCAUGUAGGCGGCUAUUCAAGUCGGGGGUGAAAUCCUGGGGCUCAACCUCAGAACUGCCUUCGAUACUGUUUAGCUCGAGUGUGGAAGAGGUUGGUGGAACUGCAAGUGUAGAGGUGAAAUUCGUAGAUAUUUGCAAGAACACCGGUGGCGAAGGCGGCCAACUGGUCCAUUACUGACGCUGAGAUGCGAAAGCGUGGGGAGCAAACAGG
rnacentral:rRNA from 1 species